rnacentral:lncRNA from 1 species
UUGAGGGUUGUGGAGUGUAGCUAGUAUUGAACAUGGAGAUCAAUUAUGCUCUGGCAUUGCUCUUAGUCCUCAUUCUCAACUUGGGUAGUUUGCUCACUUCUCUUGCUAACUCCUAUUGCCCACCACCAACAUACCCUCCAGUUCCUCACUUGCCACCCAAACACCCUCCCCAUGUAACUCCACCCUUCCACCCUAAACCACCAAAGAAGCCACCACCAUAUGUCAAACCACCUCAUGCAAAGCCUCCUCCUCAUGUACCAAUCAAACCCCCUCAUGUUAAACCACCCAUUGUAAAACCACCUCCUUAUCCGAAACCUCCAGUUGCCAAACCACCUCCCCAUCCCAAACCUCCUGUUGUCAAACCACCUCCCCAUCCCAAACCUCCUGUUGUCAAACCACCUCCCCAUCCCAAACCUCCUGUUGUCAAACCACCUCCCUAUCCCAAACCUCCUGUUGUCAAACCACCUCACCUAUCCCAAACCUCCUGUUGUCAAACCACCCUCCCUAUCCCAAACCUCCUGUUGUCAAACCACCUCCCUAUCCCAAACCUCCUGUUGUCAAACCACCUCACCAUCCCAAGCCUCCUGUUGUCAAACCACCUCCCCAUCCCAAACCUCCUGUUGUCAAGCCUCCAGUUGUCAAACCACCUCCCCAUCCCAAACCACCAGUUGUACUGCCUCCACCAUAUACCCCGAAGCCCCGGUUGUACUGCCUUCCACCAUAUACCCCGAAGCCCCCGGUUGUGCUGCCUCCACCAUAUACCCCGAAGCCCCCGGUUGUGGCCUCCACCAUAUCCCCCGAACCCCCCCGGUGUAUGUGCUGCCUCCACCAUAUACCCCGAAGCCCCCGGUUGUACUGCCUCCACCAUAUACCCCGAAGCCCCCGGUUGUACUGCCUCCACCAUAUACCCCGAAGCCCCCGGUUGUACUGCCUCCACCAUAUACCCCGAAGCCCCCGGUUGUACUGCCUCCACCAUAUACCCCGAAGCCCCCAGUUGUACUGCCUCCACCAUAUACCCCCAAGCCCCCAGUUGUACUGCCUCCACCAUAUACCCCCAAGCCCCCAGUUGUACUGCCUCCACCUUCACCACCUGUUGUAGUGCCAAGCCCACCAUCAACACCAACCCCAACCCCAGUUGUCCCAGUGAAGCCUCCUCCACCCACUGAAACACCAUGCCCUCCUCCACCACCAAAGGUAGUACCACCCCCAACAUCACCACCUCCAAAGUCGCCAC